rnacentral:rRNA from 1 species
UACGGGGGGGGUAAGCGUUGUUCGGAAUUACUGGGCGUAAAGGGCUCGUAGGUGGCCAACUAAGUCAUACGUGAAAUCCCUCAGCUUAACUGGGGAACUGCGUGUGAUACUGGAUGGCUUGGAUUUGGGAGAGGGAUGCGGAAUUCCAGGUGUAGCGGUGAAAUGCGUAGAUAUCUGGAGGAACACCGGUGGCGAAGGCGGCAUCCUGGACCAAUAUUGACGCUGAGGAGCGAAAGCCAGGGGAGCAAACGGG